CCUAUCAAUAAUAACGUUAAAUGUAAAUGGAUUAAAUGCUCCAAUCAAAAGACAUACUGUAGCUGAGUGGAUAAGAAAACAUGACCUGUACAUAUGCUGUCUACAAGAGACCCACCUCAGAACAAAUGAUCUACACAGACUUAAAGCCAAGGAAUGGAAAAAAAAACUCCA